UGACAAGUCAAUUUGGUCACCUAGACAGA
rnacentral:sRNA from 1 species